rnacentral:ribozyme from 1 species
UAUGUCGUGUACCUUGCUUCGAUUCCUUUGGAUGCACGGCGGGGCAUUGUUUACGAUAGGGGUGUAUGUAGGGAGGACGAGGCCAGGUCGAUGAUCGAGGUGGAUGAUGCUACGAGGGAACAGCUUUUGGCGGAAGCUGCUUUGAUUUCUUAUGCGAUUGAGACGUGCGAUUUCGACCUGUAG